GAUGAACGCUGGCGGCGUGCUUAACACAUGCAAGUCGAACGAUGAAGCCCAGCUUGCUGGGUGGAUUAGUGGCGAACGGGUGAGUAACACGUGAGUAACCUGCCCUUGACUCUGGGAUAAGCCUGGGAAACUGGGUCUAAUACUGGAUAUGACUUCUCAUCGCAUGGUGGGGGGUGGAAAGAUUUAUUGGUCUUGGAUGGACUCGCGGCCUAUCAGCUUGUUGGUGAGGUAAUGGCUCACCAAGGCGACGACGGGUAGCCGGCCUGAGAGGGUGACCGGCCACACUGGGACUGAGACACGGCCCAGACUCCUACGGGAGGCAGCAGUGGGGAAUAUUGCACAAUGGGCGCAAGCCUGAUGCAGCGACGCCGCGUGAGGGAUGACGGCCUUCGGGUUGUAAACCUCUUUCAGUAGGGAAGAUGCGAGAGUGACGGUACCUGCAGAAGAAGCGCCGGCUAACUACGU
rnacentral:rRNA from 1 species